GGUUUUGGAUGGGCUCACGGCCUAUCAGCUUGUUGGUGGGGUAAUGGCUCACCAAGGCGACGACGGGUAGCCGGCCUGAGAGGGUGACCGGCCACACUGGGACUGAGACACGGCCCAGACUCCUACGGGAGGCAGCAGUGGGGAAUAUUGCACAAUGGGCGAAAGCCUGAUGCAGCGACGCCGCGUGAGGGAUGACGGCCUUCGGGUUGUAAACCUCUUUCAGCACGGAAGAAGCGAAAGUGACGGUACGUGCAGAAGAAGCGCCGGCUAACUACGUGCCAGCAGCCGCGGUAAUACGUAGGGCGCAAGCGUUGUCCGGAAUUAUUGGGCGUAAAGAGCUCGUAGGCGGUUUGUCGCGUCUGCUGUGAAAGCCCGGGGCUUAACCCCGGGUGUGCAGUGGGUACGGGCAGACUUGAGUGCAGUAGGGGAGACUGGAAUUCCUGGUGUAGCGGUGAAAUGCGCAGAUAUCAGGAGGAACACCGAUGGCGAAGGCAGGUCUCUGGGCUGUUACUGACGCUGAGGAGCGAAAGCAUGGGGAGCGAACAGGAUUAGAUACCCUGGUAGUCCAUGCCGUAAACGUUGGGCACUAGGUGUGGGGAACAUUCCACGUUUUCCGCGCCGUAGC
rnacentral:rRNA from 1 species